UUGUUGGGUAGGGGAGCGUUCUGUAAGCCUGCGAAGGCGUGCUGUGAGGCAUGCUGGAGGUAUCAGAAGUGCGAAUGCUGACAUAAGUAACGAUAAAGCGGGUGAAAAGCCCGCUCGCCGGAAGACCAAGGGUUCCUGUCCAACGUUAAUCGGGGCAGGGUGAGUCGACCUCUAAGGCGAGGCCGAAAGGCGUAGUCGAUGGGAAACAGGUUAAUAUUCCUGUACUUGGUGUUACUGCGAAGGGGGGACGGAGAAGGCUAUGUUGGCCGGGCGACGGUUGUCCCGGUUUAAGCGUGUAGGCUGGUUUUCCAGGCAAAUCCGGAAAAUCAAGGCUGAGGCGUGAUGACGAGGCACUACGGUGCUGAAGCAACAAAUGCCCUGCUUCCAGGAAAAGCCUCUAAGCAUCAGGUAACAUCAAAUCGUACCCCAAACCGACACAGGUGGUCAGGUAGAGAAUACCAAGGCGCUUGAGAGAACUCGGGUGAAGGAACUAUGCAAAAUGGUGCCGUAACUUCGGGAGAAGGCACGCGGAUAUGUAGGUGAAGCGACUUGCUCGUGGAGCUGAAAUCAGUCGAAGAUACCAGCUGGCUGCAACUGUUUAUUAAAAACACAGCACUGUGCAAACACGAAAGUGGACGUAUACGGUGUGACGCCUGCCCGGUGCCGGAAGGUUAAUUGAUGGGGUCAGCGCAAGCGAAGCUCUUGAUCGAAGCCCCGGUAAACGGCGGCCGUAACUAUAACGGUCCUAAGGUAGCGAAAUUCCUUGUCGGGUAAGUUCCGACCUGCACGAAUGGCGUAAUGAUGGCCAGGCUGUCUCCACCCGAGACUCAGUGAAAUUGAACUCGCUGUGAAGAUGCAGUGUACCCGCGGCAAGACGGAAAGACCCCGUGAACCUUUACUAUAGCUUGACACUGAACAUUGAGCCUUGAUGUGUAGGAUAGGUGGGAGGCUUUGAAGUGUGGACGCCAGUCUGCAUGGAGCCGACCUUGAAAUACCACCCUUUAAUGUUUGAUGUUCUAACGUGGACCCGUGAUCCGGGUUGCGGACAGUGUCUGGUGGGUAGUUUGACUGGGGCGGUCUCCUCCUAAAGAGUAACGGAGGAGCACGAAGGUUGGCUAAUCCUGGUCGGACAUCAGGAGGUUAGUGCAAUGGCAUAAGCCAGCUUGACUGCGAGCGUGACGGCGCGAGCAGGUGCGAAAGCAGGUCAUAGUGAUCCGGUGGUUCUGAAUGGAAGGGCCAUCGCUCAACGGAUAAAAGGUACUCCGGGGAUAACAGGCUGAUACCGCCCAAGAGUUCAUAUCGACGGCGGUGUUUGGCACCUCGAUGUCGGCUCAUCACAUCCUGGAGCUGAAGUAGGUCCCAAGGGUAUGGCUGUUCGCCAUUUAAAGUGGUACGCGAGCUGGGUUUAGAACGUCGUGAGACAGUUCGGUCCCUAUCUGCCGUGGGCGCUGGAGAACUGAGGGGGGCUGCUCCUAGUACGAGAGGACCGGAGUGGACGCAUCACUGGUGUUCGGGUUGUCAUGCCAAUGGCACUGCCCGGUAGCUAAAUGCGGAAGAGAUAAGUGCUGAAAGCAUCUAAGCACGAAACUUGCCCCGAGAUGAGUUCUCCCUGACUCCUUGAGAGUCCUGAAGGAACGUUGAAGACGACGACGUUGAUAGGCCGGGUGUGUAAGCGCAGCGAUGCGUUGAGCUAACCGGUACUAAUGAACCGUGAGGCUUAACC
rnacentral:rRNA from 1 species